GUAUAUUGGCAGCACGUAUAAUAAGAUUGGAAUGAUACAGUGAGAUUAGCAUGGCCAUUUUGCAGGGAUGACAUGCAAAUUCGUGAAAUAUUCUAUAUUUUU